rnacentral:rRNA from 1 species
UACGGAGGGUGCAAGCGUUAUCCGGAUUUAUUGGGUUUAAAGGGUCCGUAGGCGGAUCUGUAAGUCAGUGGUGAAAUCUCACAGCUUAACUGUGAAACUGCCAUUGAUACUGCAGGUCUUGAGUGUUAUUGAAGUAGCUGGAAUAAGUAGUGUAGCGGUGAAAUGCAUAGAUAUUACUUAGAGCACCAAUUGCGAAGGCAGGUUACUAAGCAACAACUGACGCUGAUGGACGAAAGCGUGGGGAGCGAACAGG